rnacentral:rRNA from 1 species
UACAUGGGGUGCAAACGUUGCUCGGAAUCAUUGGGCGUAAAGCGCGCGUAGGCGGUUACUUAUGUCGGAUGUGAAAGCCCUCGGCUUAACUGAGGAAGUGCAUUCGAAAACUGGGUAGCUAGAGUACUAAAGAGGGUCGCGAAUUCCCGGUGUAGAGGUGAAAUUCGUAGAUAUCAGGAGGAACACCGGUGGCGAAGGCGGCCCUCUGGACGGAUACUGACGCUGAGGCGCGAAAGCGUGGGGAUCAAACAGG